UACGGAGGGUGCGAGCGUUGUCCGGAAUCAUUGGGCGUAAAGGGCGCGUAGGUGGCGCGGUAAGCGUGCGGUGAAAGCCUGGGGCUCAACCCCGGGUCGGCCGUGCGAACUGCUGGGCUUGAGCACUGUAGAGGCAGGCGGAAUUCCGGGUGUAGCGGUGGAAUGCGCAGAUAUCGGGAGGAACACCGGUGGCGAAGGCGGUUCUCUGGGCCUUACCUGACACUGAGGAGCGAAAGCGUGGGGAGCGAACAGG
rnacentral:rRNA from 1 species